rnacentral:rRNA from 1 species
UACGUAGGGGGCAAGCGUUGUCCGGAAUCAUUGGGCGUAAAGAGCGUGUAGGCGGCUCGUUAAGUCUGCUGUGAAAGCCGGGGGCUCAACCCUCGAAUGCCGGUGGAUACUGUCGGGCUAGAGUGCGGAAGAGGCGAGUGGAAUUCCUGGUGUAGCGGUGAAAUGCGUAGAGAUGUGGAGGAACACCGAUGGCGAAGGCAGCCUUCUGGGCCAACACUGACGCUCAUGCACGAAAGCGUGGGGAGCAAACAGG